rnacentral:rRNA from 1 species
AUUGAACGCUGGCGGCAUGCUUUACACAUGCAAGUCGAACGGCAGCGCGGGCUUCGGCCUGGCGGCGAGUGGCGAACGGGUGAGUAAUGCAUCGGAACGUGCCCAGUAGUGGGGGAUAGCCCGGCGAAAGCCGGAUUAAUACCGCAUACGACCUGAGGGUGAAAGCGGGGGACCGAAAGGCCUCGCGCUAUUGGAGCGGCCGAUGCCGGCUUAGCUAGUUGGUGGGGUAAAGGCUUACCAAGGCGACGAUCCGUAGCUGGUCUGAGAGGACGACCAGCCACCCUGGGACUGGGACACGGCCCAGACUCCUACGGGAGGCAGCAGUGGGGAAUUUUGGACAAUGGGGGCAACCCUGAUCCAGCCAUGCCGCGUGCGGGAAGAAGGCCUUCGGGUUGUAAACCGCUUUUGUUCGGGAAGAAAUCCUCUGGGCUAAUACCCCGGGGGGAUGACGGUACCGGAAGAAUAAGCACCGGCUAACUACGUG